rnacentral:rRNA from 1 species
CAGCAGCCACGGGAAUACAGAGGGUGCAAGCGUUAAUCGGAAUUACUGGGCGUAAAGCGCGCGUAGGUGGUUUGUUAAGUUGGAUGUGAAAUCCCCGGGCUCAACCUGGGAACUGCAUCCAAAACUGGCAAGCUAGAGUAUGGUAGAGGGUGGUGGAAUUUCCUGUGUAGCGGUGAAAUGCGUAGAUAUAGGAAGGAACACCAGUGGCGAAGGCGACCACCUGGACUGAUACUGACACUGAGGUGCGAAAGCGUGGGGAGCAAACAGGAUUAGAUACCCGGGUAGUCCCUGUCUCUUAUAC